UCAACCUAGUACGAGAGGAACCGUUGA
rnacentral:snRNA from 1 species